ACCCGCCCAGUGAUGGGCGGCUGAACAAUCAGAAGUCAGCAGAGGCCAUAGUACCACCCUGUCUCGAGACAAGUGGGAAGGGC
rnacentral:ncRNA from 1 species